rnacentral:rRNA from 1 species
UGGGGAAUAUUGGGCAAUGGGCGCAAGCCUGACCCAGCCACGCCGCGUGAGUGAUGAAGGCCUUCGGGUCGUAAAGCUCUGUGGGGAAGGACGAAAAACAUUGGCUAAUAUCCAAUGGCUUGACGGUACUUCCUUAGCAAGCACCGGCUAACUCUGUGCCAGCAGCCGCGGUAAUACAGAGGGUGCAAACGUUGCUCGGAAUCAUUGGGCGUAAAGCGCACGUAGGCGGCCUGAUAAGUCGGUAGUGAAAGCCCUCGGCUUAACCGAGGAAGUGCUAUCGAAACUGCCAGGCUUGAGUACCGGAGAGGAUCGCGGAAUUCCCGGUGUAGAGGUGAAAUUCGUAGAUAUCGGGAGGAACACCAGUGGCGAAGGCGGCGAUCUGGACGGAUACUGACGCUGAGGUGCGAAAGCGUGGGGAGCAAACAGGAUUAGAUACCCACGUAGUCCCUGAGCGGGCUGGCAAGGCGCAU